GGACAGGUGGCCGAGUGGUUGAAGGCGCCUCCCUGCUAAGGAGGUAUACCCGCAAGGGUAUCGUGGGUUCGAAUCCCAUCCUGUCCGCCA
rnacentral:tRNA from 1 species